UUCCCCAAACCCUUUAGCUUCUCAGUUCUUACUCCAGCCCUCCGCUGUUAGGGCAUCAGGUCCCCAUUCACUUCUCCACAAAUUUGGGGUGAAAAGCGGGCCGUAUCUUCCUCCACCUCGUCCCUCAGUCAAAAACUGUGGAGGUUGGUGCUUAGAAGUCAAAGAAUCCAGUGUCCACUUCGGGGAGGGGCCCCCCGCGUGACAGAGCAUGGACUAGUACUCAGGAAGCUUGACUUUCACCUUCCCAUACGUCCUGCUGCCCCUUGGCCAAAUCAGCUCUGCCUGAUUUGGGCCGCAGUCUCGUUAGGACCCCCUCGCAUCUCAUUGGGGGUAAUGGAGGGGCGACUUGGCGUCCCUUCAGCCCAGGGAAUGGACAUCUGGCUGGGUUGGUCCCAUGCCAGGCCGGCCAUUUGCUUGCAAAACAAACACUAUAAUCCUGCGGCUGAGCACGCAAAUCUUGGUGCCUGCCUCCUCCCAGGACUCCUGGACUCCAAGACCUCUGACUUCAGCCUGGAGUUGAGCGAAGACAUGGCUUACUUUCCUUCAAAUCAUUCCUGGGCUGCAGACGAGAUGAUGGAUCUUUGAAUCAAUAAAUCCCAAUUGAUGGAGAAGACCAGAAGGAUGUCAAGGAACCAGGCUGGAAGCACUGGGAGGAGCCAUCUGGGUGGAAGGAAGAGGAAGUGCAAAGAGUCUGCAGAAGAGGGUUUGAAGCACUUAGGGAACAUGAAGUUGGCAAAUGAGGCAGGAAGACAUUGACCCGUGUUGGUGGAAUGAGAUGGGACAGAGUCGCAGGAAGAGAGUCCCAUUUCCACAAAUCAGCAGAAGAGGGAGGGGAAAUCCCAUAUAUAGCACUUUAAAAAUUAAUGGCUCUAUUAGAAAAUUAUCUUCUUAAUUUUUUUUUAAAUCUUUAUUUUAUUAUUAUUUGUUUAUCUUUAUGUGGUGCUGAGGAUCAAACCCAGUGCCUCGUGCAUGCUAGGCAAGCACCCUGCCACUGAGCUAUGCCCAAGCCCCAGAAAAUUACCUUUUGCAAGGUAUUGAUGAACCAACUAAAAAGUAAAAGGAAUAUGGACUCCAAGUAUAGCUCUGGGUAGCUUACCUAGCACCCGAAAGGCCCUGGGUAACAUCCCCAGCACCACAGAAAACAAGAAAAACGCUCUGGAUAUUUAAUGGAAUAUCCCAUUAAACAAGAAUGCUGGGCAUCCCAGAGACUCAGGAGGCUGAGGCAAGAGAGGUUUGAGGUCAGCCUCAGGAACUUAGUGAGACCCUGUCUCAAAAUAAAAUAAAGCCAGAGCCGGGCACAAUGGCGCACACUUGUAAUCCCAGUGGCUCAUGAGGCUGAGACAGGAGGAUCCCGAGUUCAAAGCCAGCCUCAGCAAAAGUGAGGCACCAACUAACUCAGUGAGACCCUGUCUCUAAAUGAAAUACAAAAUAGAGCUGGGGAUGUGGCUCAGUGGUCGAAUGCCCCUGAGUUCAAUACCCGUACCCACACUCCAAAAAAAAUAAUAAUAAUAAUAAAAAAGCCAAGUGUGGUGGCACAAGCCUGUAAUCCCCACAGCUCAGGGAGAAUUACUAGUUCAAAGCCAGCCUCAGCAACUUAGCAAGGCCUUAAGUAACUCAGUGAGACCCUAUCUCUAAUUAAAAUACAAAAAAGGGCUGGGGAUGUGGCUCAGUGAUUAAGCACCCCUGGAUUCACUCCCCAGUAUCAAAAAAAUAAAAGGGGUUGGGGAUGUAGCUCAGGGGCAAAGUGCCCCUGGGUUUAAUCCCCAGUACCAAACAAACAA